rnacentral:tRNA from 1 species
UCCCUGGUGUCUUAGUGGUAAAGAAUCUGCCUGCAAUGCAGGAGUUGCAGGAGACACAGGUUCAAUCCCUGGGUCGAGAA